AGAAACUAACUCGGUCACACAGGGGAGCAAUUUGGGGUGCAGUGUCUUGCCACUUCGAUAUGUGGGCUGGGGGAAUCUGGGAUCAAACGGCCGACCUUCCGCUUGGUAAAUGACCCGCUCUACCACCAAGCCACAGAAUUCUUGGUGAAGUCUACAAAUGUGGAUGGUUUGAUCCUUAAGAAAAAAAGAGGUUUUAUGUCUAAAUUUAAACAGCUUCUGAAUGUGUUUUCUGUUUCUGUGUUCCCAAAGUUUACCAUCACCUGUCUGAAUUCGGAGGAAUGUGUGCUGCCAUGUCAGUUCCAGUCUUAUGGCAAAGGUGCAAGAGUCAUGCGGUACAAGAAGAAAGCCGUGGUGAGCUGCACGCGAUACUGCAACACCAGCUUUGUGGUCGGCCACAACUCGCCGGCCGAUUGAAAUAUAAGAAUGAAAUAUAACUCCACAUAUCAAUAGCUUGAUGGCAGUAACGCACCACAAAAGCUAGCAAUAUGACACCAGUUCCCAUCCGGGAGGUUGACAUUGAGCUUAGUGGCGAUUCGGUCACCUGUAGUGGAAGACAACACCAUAAAUCAGACAUGUUUGUUGUGUAACCAUCGACACCAACAACAAAAAACAGCCAUCCUAAAACACAGAGCCCGUCACCAUCCUCCUCUCACAGCUUCACUGAGGAAAGCAGCCACUGAGAAGGUCGGAGGUUUACAGGAAAUACUGGAUCUUUGCUUUGAUAAUAACUAUGUUUAGUACAAUACUGCUGAAACCUGCACGGA